rnacentral:rRNA from 1 species
CCUACGGGAGGCAGCAGUGGGGAAUAUUGGGCAAUGGGCGCAAGCCUGACCCAGCAACGCCGCGUGAAGGAAGAAGGCUUUCGGGUUGUAAACUUCUUUUCUGAGGGACGAAGAAAGUGACGGUACCUCAGGAAUAAGCCACGGCUAACUCCGUGCCAGCAGCCGCGGUAAUACGUCGGUGGCAAGCGUGAUCCGGAUUUAUUGGGUGUAAAGGGCGUGUAGGCGGGAAAGCAAGUCAGAUGUGAAAACUCGGGGCUCAACCCUGAGCCUGCAUUUGAAACUGUUUUUCUUGAGUGCUGGAGAGGUAAUCGGAAUUCCGGGUGUAGCGGUGAAAUGCGUAGAUAUACGGAGGAACACCAGUGGCGAAGGCGGAUUGCUGGACAGUAACUGACGCUGAGGCGCGAAAGCGUGGGGAGCAAACAGGAUUAGAUACCCGAGUAGUC